rnacentral:rRNA from 1 species
GGAUUGGCGCAUCGGUCGUGCCUCACGGGGUAUGAACUGGUGCAGUCAAUUUCUCACCUUCUGAAGAACCGCGAUGUCAUUAAUUUGGUGUCGUGGGGAAUCAGGACUGUUACUUUGAAAAAAUUAGAGUGUUUAAAGCAGGCGCACGCUUGAAUACAUUAGCAUGGAAUAAUGAAAUAGGACGUUUGAUUCUAUUUUGUUGGUUUCCAGGAUCGACGUA